rnacentral:rRNA from 1 species
CCUACGGGUGGCAGCAGUGAGGAAUAUUGGUCAAUGGACGAAAGGCUGAACCAGCCAAGUAGCGUGAAGGAAGACGGAUCUAUGGGUUGUAAACUUCUUUUAUAGAGGAAUAAAACGAGGCACGUGUGCCUUUUUGCAUGUACUUUAUGAAUAAGGAUCGGCUAACUCCGUGCCAGCAGCCGCGGUAAUACGGAGGAUCCGAGCGUUAUCCGGAUUUAUUGGGUUUAAAGGGAGCGUAGGUGGGUUGUUAAGUCAGUUGUGAAAUUUCGCGGCUCAACCGUGAAAUUGCAUUUGAUACUGGCCGUCUUGAGUACAGUUGAGGUAGGCGGAAUUCGUAGUGUAGCGGUGAAAUGCUUAGAUAUCACGAAGAACCCCGAUUGCGAAGGCAGCUUACUAAACUGUGACUGACAUUGAUGCUCGAAAGUGUGGGUAUCAAACAGGAUUAGAUACCCGUGUAGUC